AUGAAAAGGUGGAUACAUUACACGCAAGUCAAGUCGACGCCGAGUUGGGAGUGGAGAACUGUCCUUGAGCCCAGGAAUCCUCUCCAGAGGAAACUGCAGAGAAGAACCGGAGACUGACAUUUGAAAACCAAGGAGGUCAGUGUGCAAAUUAAAUGGCGUAGGACAUGGACUUUUGAGCUGGAGGAGAAGAACCGGGUAAAAGAUGCCUUUGUUUCCAGCUGUCGAGGUGUGGGGUAGAUGAGAGUGCGUUUGAUUUGUAAGAGGUUUGUAAAGCAGCAUUCCUUUACACAGAUGCCUAAAGCUUCCUUGAGCACCGGGCAACUGAUGUUGCUUCAAGGGAUGUCGGAAGCUUCUCUGUAGGGACUGAAAAUCCUUGUGCUCCUGUUGUGGUUUACCUUAGCGAGUGAGACAUUAACUCCUGGGAUUUACACUCAUUUCUCUCCACAGAGGGAGAAGUGGCUGUGGCAGAGAUGCUCUGUGCCGACCAGAGAGGGAGCUUCUUGAAGGAAUCAGCUGGUGGCAGUGAUCAGCCAGUGACAGGACCGAGUGCUGUAAUUGGCUUCAAGCUUGCAGUCUUCUCCAUCGAGAGAUCAAAGGCACUCCUGUCCCCUCUCUGGAUUGAGAAGACCUGGGAAACCUCUUUGGAUCAGAGCUGCCAAGAAAAGGGAUGGGAUGAGAAGCACUGGUGAUGGAUGCAUCCAAAGCAGUGGGACUGGCGAGGGAGGAGAGUCCGGCCCUCUGCUCCGCUCUGAGGGAGCAGUGCCUGUGGCAGAGAUGUUCUGUGCGUCCAAAGCAGUGGGACUGGCGAGGGAGGAGAUUCCGGCCUUCUGCUCCGCUUUGAGGGAGCAGUGGCUGUGGCAGAGAUGUUCUGUGCGUCCAAAGCAGUGGGACUGGCGAGGGAGGAGAUUUCGGCCCUCUACUCCGCUUUGGUGAGACCCCACCUGGAGCCCUGUGUUCGACUCUGGAAUCCCACAGACUGGAAUGGUGCUUAUGGCUUCCUGGAGGUCCAUGGUGUAUCGUUUUUUUACACAGAUGCCUAAAGCUUCCUUGAACACCGGGCAACUGAAGUUGUUUCAAGAAACAGAAGUCUCAUCAUACCUGCAUUUAAAUCAUUUCCACUCACAGAUCUGCAUUGUCUUUUAUUUUCUCACCCAAAGAACCCACACUCACACAUUUAAUAAACUAU